UAAGCUGGGCAUCACCACCCUCCCACAGCACUCCUGCCUCCUGGCAUCUUGUCUUAGCCCAGGCUACCCCUUACUGUGCUGCUGGCAGGUGGCCGUCUGAGGAAGCCGCAGAGCCCGGGUGGUUCCCUCCGUGCAGGGGAGACAGAUGGGUCUGUUCAGGAGAUGGGAAGUCAGGGGCCACCUGUACCCUGCCCUCUGGCCACCUUCCCCAGCUUUCUGGGGACACAGGUGCUCACCUGAGAGUCUGGUCAUACUUCAGCUUCGUCUUGAGUUUGAUCAGGGCAACAUCGUAGUCAUAAAACUCAGAAAUCCCUUCCGCCUUCUUCCCAUUGAUGUUAUAGUUGGGGUGAAAUAGGACCUCUUCUAUCUCCAGGCCCCGGAUCUUCCCUCCUGAGGGGGAGGAGAGCGGGCACUACUUUUCUGUGGGCAGCCUCCUCCCCCUGAGUGACGUGUUUUACCCCCAUCCUUGACUGAUCGGAGCAAGAGGGAGGCUUUGGUGGGAGCUCAGCAUCCGCCGGGACGUCUUACCCACGCUGACCUUGAUGGAGUGUUUCUGGUCGUCCACUGUGAAGCAGUGUGCCGCCGUCAGCACGAAGUACUCAGACACCACAGCCCCCAUGCAGUUCUCGUGUCCCUUCGUAGGGCGCUGGGAAUGCAGCCACGGAGGGGAACUCAGCCUUCACCAGCCAGUCUCACGUGGGCUUGGCAUACCUCGCCUCCCGCAAGUCCCCAUUGCUAGGAUUCUGUGCUUACAAUGACUGAGAUCUUGGCCUGCCACGGUUGCUUGUGUUUCUGCACCUUGUAAAGCUACACAGCUGUCAUUCUACUUUCAGGAAGUGGACAACACCAGGAACCGGGUAUAGAUGCUGAGAGUAGGGAAAUGAACAGCUCUGGGGGAAGUGGGGAGAGUGGCCCCGUUACUCUUCCAUCUUCCUACCAAUCAUUUGAAAGAAGACGUCUUCCAGGUUUUCCAUGUCCUUGACUUUGAACACAUGCUGCUCCCUAUCCUUCUUGGAAGCCAAGGCAUUGAUGUUCUCUUGGUUCACCAGAGGCCCGACCCCGAACACGUACACGUCUGAGGGAGGGAAGACAGGGUGAGGGGCCGGGCCCUGGGAAAGGAGGGCGUGGGGUGCGGGGCAGGUCACUCACCUAGAUAAUCCUCCCUCGAGUUCUUUCGGUCCCUGCCGAUGUCCAGUAGACUCCGAAUGUCGUGAAUGACAGUGACGGGGUUCCCACCCAUGUUGUGCAAACCUGCAGGAAAGAUGCGGGGGAGGGGAUAAGUCUGGCAGGUGGGCAAGGGGGAGCUGGUGGCAAGGUCACAGGAAAGCGUGCGUAGCAGCCAGCUGGGAACAG